rnacentral:rRNA from 1 species
GAUGAACGCUGGCGGCGUGCCUAAUACAUGCAAGUCGAGCGAACAGAUGAGGAGCUUGCUCCUCUGACGUUAGCGGCGGACGGGUGAGUAACACGUGGAUAACCUACCUAUAAGACUGGGAUAACUUCGGGAAACCGGAGCUAAUACCGGAUAAUAUAUUGAACCGCAUGGUUCAAUAGUGAAAGACGGUUUUGCUGUCACUUAUAGAUGGAUCCGCGCCGCAUUAGCUAGUUGGUAAGGUAACGGCUUACCAAGGCAACGAUGCGUAGCCGACCUGAGAGGGUGAUCGGCCACACUGGAACUGAGACACGGUCCAGACUCCUACGGGAGGCAGCAGUAGGGAAUCUUCCGCAAUGGGCGAAAGCUUGACGGAGCAACGCCGCGUGAGUGAUGAAGGUCUUCGGAUCGUAAAACUCUAUUAUUAGGGAAGAACAAAUGUGUAAGUAACUAUGCACGUCUUGACGGUACCUAAUCAGAAAGCCACGGCUAACUACGUG